rnacentral:misc_RNA from 1 species
UCGAAUUAUAAGCAAAGGUUGUAGCUGGCCCGUGAAACGGCAUGUGCACGCCUGAGCUCUUAAUCCAUACACACCUGUGAACCAAAUGUAGGCCUUAGGGCCUAUGUAUUUCAUUUACCCCAGAAGUCUAUAGAAUGUAAUAAUUAUUAUUGCCUUAAAAACGCAAUCAAAUA